GUCCCUUGUAGCGCAAUAGAUAGCUCGUUGGACUUUUAAUCCAAAGGAUGUGGGUUCAAAUCCCACCUGGGAUG